rnacentral:tRNA from 1 species
GGGCAUAUAGCUCAGUUGGUUAGAGCGCAGUCCUGAUAAGACUGAGGUCUCUCGUUCAAAUCGAGAUAUGCCCACCA